AUUUACACUGACUGGGCCAACCACUACCUAGCAAAAUCGGGCCACAAGCGGCUGAUCAAGGACUUGCAACAAGACAUUGCAGAUGGAGUACUCCUAGCAGAAAUCAUCCAGAUUAUUGCAAAUGAAAAAGUUGAAGAUAUCAAUGGAUGUCCUAGAAGUCAGUCUCAGAUGGUAAGAUAAGAAGAUGAGGUUCUUAACCAAAUAUGGAAGAGAUAAAAUACUGGAAUGCUCUUAAAGGUUUAAUAAAAUCUUAUAUAUGGCACACUGCAAAAUUGUAGCACUAUGACUCAGGAGU
rnacentral:sRNA from 1 species